AUAUCGGAGAGUUUGAUCCUGGCUCAGAGCGAACGCUGGCGGCGUGCUUAACACAUGCAAGUCACACGGAGUUGCGGAAGGGUAACUGGAAGUAACUAAGUGGCGGACGGGUGAGUAACGCGUAGGUGACCUGCCCUUGUGCCUGGGAUAACCACUGGAAAC
rnacentral:rRNA from 1 species